GGAGUUUUAUUAUAAUUUAGUAUUUUUAAUUUUUUAUUAAAAAGUUAGGACUUUA
rnacentral:tRNA from 1 species